rnacentral:rRNA from 1 species
UUGCAUAUCAAAAAGCGGAGGAAAAGAAACCAACUGGGAUUACCUUAGUAACGGCGAGUGAAGCGGUAAAAGCUCAAAUUUGAAAUCUGGUACUUUCAGUGCCCGAGUUGUAAUUUGUAGAAUUUGUCUUUGAUUAGGUCCUUGUCUAUGUUCCUUGGAACAGGACGUCAUAGAGGGUGAGAAUCCCGUUUGGCGAGGAUACCUUUUCUCUGUAAGACUUUUUCGAAGAGUCGAGUUGUUUGGGAAUGCAGCUCAAAGUGGGUGGUAAAUUCCAUCUAAAGCUAAAUAUUGGCGAGAGACCGAUAGCGAACAAGUACAGUGAUGGAAAGAUGAAAAGAACUUUGAAAAGAGAGUGAAAAAGUACGUGAAAUUGUUGAAAGGGAAGGGCAUUUGAUCAGACAUGGUGUUUUUUGCAUGCACUCGCCUCUCGUGGGCUUGGGCCUCUCAAAAAUUUCACUGGGCCAACAUCAAUUCUGGCAGCAGGAUAAAUCAUUAAGAAUGUAGCUACUUCGGUAGUGUUAUAGCUUUUUGGAAUACUGUUAGCCGGGAUUGAGGACUGCGCUUCGGCAAGGAUGUUGGCAUAAUGGUUAAAUGCCGCCCGUCUUGAAACACGGACCA